GGCUCACUGGUGUUACGUGGCAAGACGCUGGAAAGGUGGAGCUAAUUGAAGGGUCAUCCUACCUUGGCCAACCACUUCCAUUUUCCAUAACCACAUUGAUAUGGAUUGAGGUCAUAGUCAUUGGAUACAUAGAGUUCCAAAGGAAUGCUGAGCUUGACCCGGAAAAGAGGCUCUACCCGGGUGGAAAAUUCUUCGACCCGCUUGGUUUGGCCUCGGACCCAGAGAAGAAGGCAACCCUCCAAUUGGCGGAGAUCAAGCAUGCCCGCCUUGCCAUGGUAGCCUUCCUAGGUUUUGCCGUCCAAGCUGCUGUCACCGGCAAAGGGCCACUCAACAACUGGGCGACCCAUUUGAGUGACCCGCUCCACACAACCAUUAUAGACACCUUUUUCUCUUGAGCUCUUUUUUUGUCUAU
rnacentral:misc_RNA from 1 species